ACGAACGCUGGCGGCGUGCUUAACACCUGCAAGUCGAACGGAAAGGCCCUGCUUUUGUGGGGUGCUCGAGUGGCGAACGGGUGAGUAACACGUGAGUAACCUGCCCUUGACUUUGGGAUAACUUCAGGAAACUGGGGCUAAUACCGGAUAGGAGCUCCUGCUGCAUGGUGGGGGUUGGAAAGUUUCGGCGGUUGGGGAUGGACUCGCGGCUUAUCAGCUUGUUGGUGGGGUAGUGGCUUACCAAGGCUUUGACGGGUAGCCGGCCUGAGAGGGUGACCGGCCACAUUGGGACUGAGAUACGGCCCAGACUCCUACGGGAGGCAGCAGUGGGGAAUAUUGCACAAUGGGCGGAAGCCUGGUGCAGCAACGCCGCGUGCGGGAUGACGGCCUUCGGGUUGUAAACCGCUUUCGCCUGUGACGAAGCGUGAGUGACGGUAAUGGGUAAAGAAGCACCGGCUAACUACGUG
rnacentral:rRNA from 1 species